rnacentral:rRNA from 1 species
UACGUAGGUGACAAGCGUUAUCCGGAUUUAUUGGGCGUAAAGCGCACGCAGGCGGCUCUUCAAGUCUGACGUGAAAUCUCUCGGCUUAACCGGGAGCGGUCGUUGGAAACUGAAGGGCUUGAGGCGAUGAGAGGGGUGUGGAAUUCCCGGUGUAGUGGUGGAAUGCGUAGAUAUCGGGAGGAACAUCAGUGGCGAAAGCGGCACCCUGGCAUUAGCCUGACGCUCAUGUGCGAAAGCGUGGUGAGCGAACGGG